AAUUAAUUAUGAAAAAAGUCCUACAGUAGCUGUAGGGCUUUUUAUAAUAAAUGUUAAAAAUAGUAGCAGUAGACACUCUAUGUGAGGUCGUUACAGAAGUAUCCCUUUUUAUAGGGGUGUUUUUGU
rnacentral:sRNA from 1 species